AACGAACGCUGGCGGCGUGUUUAAGACAUGCAAGUCGCACGGGAUCAUUUUGGUAGCAAUACUCGGAUGGUCCAGUGGCGCACGGGUGAGUAACACGUGAACGACAUGCCCUGCAGAGGGGGAUAGCCCAGGGAAACUUGGAUUAAUACCCCAUGGUAUCGCGAGAUUAAAGGGUGGCCGCAAGGCUGCCGCUGCAGGAUUGGUUCGCGUUCUAUCAGCUUGUUGGCGGGGUAACGGCCCACCAAGGCUACGACGGAUACCUGGUCUGAGAGGACGAUCAGGCACACUGGAACUGAGACACGGUCCAGACACCUACGGGUGGCAGCAGUCGAGAAUAAUUCACAAUGGGGGCAACCCUGAUGGUGCAACGCCGCGUGGAGGAUGAAGGUCUUCGGAUUGUAAACUCCUGUCAUCCGGGAGCAAGACCUGACGGUUAACAGCCGGCAGGGUUGAUAGUACCGGAAGAGGAAGGGACGGCUAACUUCGUGCCAGCCGCCGCCGUAACAC
rnacentral:rRNA from 1 species